rnacentral:rRNA from 1 species
UACGUAGGGUGCGAGCGUUAAUCGGAAUUACUGGGCGUAAAGCGUGCGCAGGCUGUUUUGUAAGUCAGAUGUGAAAUCCCUGAGCUCAACUUAGGAACUGCGUUUGAAACUACAAGACUAGAAUAUGUCAGAGGGGGGUAGAAUUCCACGUGUAGCAGUGAAAUGCGUAGAGAUGUGGAGGAAUACCAAUGGCGAAGGCAGCCCCCCUGGGAUAAUAUUGACGCUCAUGCACGAAAGCGUGGGGAGCAAACAGG